UGAAAGAGGAUUAGUUCUAAGGGAAGUGAG
rnacentral:piRNA from 1 species